UACAGAGGGUGCGAGCGUUAAUCGGAGUUACUGGGCGUAAAGGGUGCGUAGGCGGUCUAGUGUGUGUGAUGUGAAAGCCCCGGGCUUAACCUGGGAAGUGCAUCGCAAACUACUAAACUUGAGUAGAUGAGAGGGUGGCGGAAUUUCCGGUGUAGCGGUGAAAUGCGUAGAGAUCGGAAGGAACGUCAAUGGCGAAGGCAGCCACCUGGCAUCAUACUGACGCUGAGGCACGAAAGCGUGGGGAGCGAACAGG
rnacentral:rRNA from 1 species